rnacentral:rRNA from 1 species
UACGGGGGGAGCAAGCGUUGUUCGGAUUUACUGGGCGUAAAGGGCGCGUAGGCGGCCACCGCAAGUCGACUGUGAAAUCUCCGGGCUUAACCCGGAAAGGUCAGCCGAUACUGCGGGGCUAGAGUGCAGAAGGGGCAACUGGAAUUCUCGGUGUAGCGGUGAAAUGCGUAGAUAUCGAGAGGAACACCUGCGGCGAAGGCGGGUUGCUGGGCUGACACUGACGCUGAGGCGUGAAAGCUAGGGGAGCGAACGGG